CCGCACUCCGGUACCGUUAAGCGACACACCGUUUACCGCUAGCCCGGGAACGCUAGUCGGUACCGCUGUCUGCUCGAUAACUGGCAGUAUUUUAGCUCCGGUUCCACUAGUGCUGGUGUUUCCACAUCGAGUGCCUACACCUUAUCGCGGGAAACCUCUUUCGUAUUCUUACAUUCGACUUGGGUUCGUUUCAGAUCGUCGUACGUAUGGUAGUACGUACGACCGUUCGGGGCAACCCUAUCAGUUCUCGAGUGGGCCAGAGCACACACACGGGGCAUUGAACAAUUUGAAUUUGUUUGCCAAACGGAGCACUAGACCAUUCUAUCUAAAAGGGAUAGUCGCAGUCGUCAAAAGUUUUUAUCAAGCACAGUUUUUGGCACAAAAUUUUACUAGGCGAACGCCAUUUUAGCGACGGCAAUCGGUGCGAGUACGAAAACGGAAACGACGACGGCAAAUGCGAACCGACAAAAUGGCGACGGCAUGGCUAACGCGCACUUUUCGACGUUGGACUCUAUGAGCUUUUUACGAUACUUUUUAUGUCGCUUGCCUUUUGGGCGCCCAUAUGUGCGUACGAUGUAUGGUGUUUGGGUCCUUGGAGUGUAUGUAUGUGUGUGUGUGUGUGGAGUGCUUGUGGGUGUAUGUGUGUGUGUUUACCAAUUG